GUUUGAAAUUAUAUCAUUUUCCCCUAGAAGUCAAACUGUGAAGCACUUUAUAGGCUGUAAACGAAGCAGCCAAAGAAACAUGUGUUCCUGAAGAGCGAGGAUCUGCUGGGACCUUUGCCUGUGGGGAGUCCUCCCAGCAGGGGAACUGCCUCUCCUCGUGUGGCCCAAGGACCCCGGGACUUCACUCUGCUGGGGAUUCGCCUUCUCACCAGAGCACCGCCAGGCCCUGGAGAAUGCCCUGUACUACUGUGUGAUGGCUAUACAGAGAAAGAGUAUUAUCUUCCAAGGAGACUUCAUGCCACCAAGUUCAUUUAUUUCAGAAAACAUAAUAAAUUUCAGAAAAUGUU